rnacentral:rRNA from 1 species
UGCAGAAUCCCGUGAACCAUCGAGUCUUUGAACGCAAGUUGCGCCCGACGCCUUUUGGUUGAGGGCACGUCUGCUUGGGUGUCACGCAUCGUCGCCUUCCUCGCCCUCGGCUCAUCAACGGGUCGAGGUGCUUGGGGCGGUUGAUGGUCUCCCGUGUGCCUCGGCAUGCGGUUGGCUGAAAAUCGCAGGGCCAUGGUGUACAACGCCACGUCGCAUGGUGGACGAGUUAAUCUCUAAGACCGGACGUUUGCGUCGCCGUUGCCCCCCGAGACCCACAGCGCUGCAAUGCAGUGCCCUCCGACGCGACCCCAGGUCAGGCGGGACCACCCGCUGAGUUUAAGCAUAUCAAUAAGCGGAGGAAAAGAAACUUACGAGGAUUCCCUUAGUAACGGCGAGCGAACCGGGAAGAGCCCACGAUGAGAAUCGGCCGUCCUUGCGACGGUCCG